GAUUUUUAUUGCAGUCGGAUCUCUACACUUUUCCGUUUUCUUUAUUCUUAUUGGAAGAUUCGAGAUCCCCAUCGCCGACGAAAACUCCUCCCGCCAACCUUUGUACAACCCCCCUUUUCCGCCUCCUUUUCUCGUCAUAGGGAGGACGAUCGACAGAGGGCUCAAGCUCGAAAGUCUCAGGUGAAGCAGCGAGACGACGGCCUAACCCCUGAACAGCGCCGCGAGAGGGAUGUGAAAGCGCUCCAAGAGAAGGCAGCUAAGAAGGCUGCGCAAGCAGCAG